rnacentral:rRNA from 1 species
UACGAAGGGGGCUAGCGUUGCUCGGAAUCACUGGGCGGAAAGGGUGCGUAGGCGGGUUUUUAAGUCAGGGGUGAAAUCCUGGAGCUCAACUCCAGAACUGCCUUUGAUACUGAAGAUCUUGAGUCCGGGAGAGGUGAGUGGAACUGCGAGUGUAGAGGUGAAAUUCGUAGAUAUUCGCAAGAACACCAGUGGCGAAGGCGGCUCACUGGCCCGGUACUGACGCUGAGGCGCGAAAGCUGGGGGAGCAAACGGG